UACGAAGGGGGCUAGCGUUGCUCGGAAUCACUGGGCGUAAAGCGCACGUAGGCGGCUUUUUAAGUCAGGGGUGAAAUCCUGGAGCUCAACUCCAGAACUGCCUUUGAUACUGAGAAGCUUGAGUCCGGGAGAGGUGAGUGGAACUGCGAGUGUAGAGGUGAAAUUCGUAGAUAUUCGGAAGAACACCAGUGGCGAAGGCGGCUCACUGGACCGGCAUUGACGCUGAUGCGCGAAAGCGUGGGGAGCGAUCCGG
rnacentral:rRNA from 1 species